CAGGAUAGGACAGAUUGUACAGCAUUUUUUGAGGGUCAGAUAUUUCCUCACCACCUUAGAAUCUGUGAGCAGGUUUGUGCUGCAUGAUAUGGUGUAGACUAGAGAUCCAUACACAUCUUCAGAAAGCUCCAGCUUCAGGAGGAGCAUAAAUGAAAAAGCCUGGAGGUCCUGAACCCUGAGCAGAGCUCCCUGAAUCCAGGAGAAACCCAGGAAUUUCAAAAUGUAGCCAAGCUUCAUUUUGACAAGGAGAAUAUUUCUCACCAUGACUGGGGAGGGGCCCAGCCCCUGCAGAACCCAAAUCCAAGGGGCAGUAACUGGGCUGCAGCAAGCAGCUCCUGCCCAGCACCAGUUGAGGGGCUCAGAUGUGACCUUGCUGCCAGUGUGACAGCCUGGGAGGCUUUGUUAGCUGAGCUCUCUGAUAGUAAGUUAGUUACUUUUGUGUUUGUUUGUUUGUUUGUUUGUUUGUGGUUUAUUUUUGUGAAAACUUAAUCUUCUCGUUUAAUUAAAUGGCAUGUUUUUCCUCUGAGCUGAGCUGGCUCCCUGCAGAUGCCCACCAGUCACUUUGCUGCAGGAGAGGUUCCAGUGGCUAAGGGCCAAGUGAUGCUGAUGACUGGAGACCAAAGGAACUAGUAAGAGGAAGACACAUACCUUCAGUUCCCUGAAGUUGUCCGGUGGCCAUCUGUGUGUCCCAGGCAGGCAGAGAAGCAGCCAGUCACUCUCUGCCAGGUCUGUCCAUCCUCAAGUCUGCCCUGUGCCCACCCAGAUCAUCCUCUUCAAGAGCUUUUGCAGGGGAAACCAGUGGAAAUCCUCCUAGGGAUCCAAAGGGAAGGCUUCUCCUUAUCCAUGGUGCCUCCUUCCAGCAAGGGGGUCAUUUCUCUGAGACGCAUGUGUCUGCAUGCUCCAAUAAAUCACAUUUCUCCAGUGUGUAUUAAACCUUUUUUCAGGCUGCAUGGACUGAAUUUGGAUGUAAAAUAACCAGGAUUGCCCCUGGAGCCCCUUUCAGAAGGAUCCCCUACUAGCCAUCUUUUCCUCCUUUGGUGGUAAAGUAGUUUAACUUAUAAUUUAAGAGCAAGAUAAUCAGUACUUCUGUGUUUGAGCUCUUUAGACCUCCCAGGAAAGUG
rnacentral:lncRNA from 1 species